ACGUUCACUUAGUAGGAUUUAAAGGUCUGCUUAAAAAAGAACAAAUAAUGAAUAAAUAAAUAAAAAAAAAGAAAAGGUAAGGACGCAGAUGAGAGUCCCAGAACUCAAUCGUCCUCCUCUCUCUAUCUCACACCCCUCUCAACCUUCGUCAUUCACUCUCAAUCGCUCUUCGCUUUCAAUCGCUCUCCUCCCUCAUCGUCCUCGCGUCCUUUCAAUCUCUCGACCUCUCUCACUAUCAAAAACCUUAAACUUUAUUUCCUCAAAUCAUCAAAUAAAACCUAAUCCUACACUUCCAACAACAAGCACUCAAAAAGGAUAACAGGAGAAGGAAAAGUUCUCACAUAGGUUUCACGACGGUGGUGAAAGGUGUGAAGAAGUCGGCCGGGAAAUAGCUUGAGCAGCGGAGGGAUGUGAGGUGCGGCGGCGAAGGUUUGUGGUGUUCUCGAAGUUAGCCUCCCUAUCCAGAUUUAGGGUUUGGGGAUCGGCUUCUGCAAAACAGGUGUCUCUGCAAACUCCUUUUUGAUGUGCUCAGUUGGGAUUGGCCUUUUUGAUGCUUGGAUUUCGGAACGUGAAGUCGGUGAGCUUUGAUUUGAUUUUGACAAGCUUGGUAAUGUUGGUUGCAAGCUUGCAAUAGAGCCUAUUUGCUCAUGCUCAUAGCAGAUUGGACAACAAGCAUGUGGCUUUAGCUUCAAGGCACACUCCAUGACAGGAUCAUGGCUACUGCAGGAUGCUUGUCAACAGUUGGAUUAAAGUUACACCAACCAAAA